rnacentral:rRNA from 1 species
GUGAGUAAUACAUCGGAACAUAUCCAGUAGCGGGGGAUAACCUAUCGAAAGAUUGGCUAAUACCGCAUACGAUCUACGGAUGAAAGCAGGGGACCGCAAGGCCUUGCACUAUUGGAGUGGCCGAUGUCAGAUUAGCUAGUUGGUGGGGUAAAAGCCUACCAAGGCGACGAUCUGUAGCUGGUCUGAGAGGACGAUCAGCCACACUGGAACUGAGACACGGUCCAGACUCCUACGGGAGGCAGCAGUGGGGAAUUUUGGACAAUGGGCGCAAGCCUGAUCCAGCCAUGCCGCGUGAGUGAAGAAGGCCUUCGGGUUGUAAAGCUCUUUCGGUGAAGACGAAACGGUUAGCGUUAAUAACGCUGACUAAUGACGGUACUCACAGAAGAAGCACCGGCUAACUACGUGCCAGCAGCCGCGGUAAUACGUAGGGUGCAGGCGUUAAUCGGAAUUACUGGGCGUAAAGCGUGCGCAGGCGGUUUGCUAAGACAGGUGUGAAAUCCCCGGGCUUAACCUGGGAAUUGCGCUUGUAACUGGCAAGCUAGAGUGUGGCAGAGGGGGGUGGAAUUCCACGUGUAGCAGUGAAAUGCGUAGAUAUGUGGAGGAACACCGAUGGCGAAGGCAGCCCCCUGGGUUAACACUGACGCUCAGGCACGAAAGCGUGNGGAGCAAACAGGAUUAGAUACCCUGGUAGUCCACGCCCUAAACUAUGUCAACUAGUUGUCGGGGAAGAAAUUCCUUGGUAACGAAGCUAACGCGUGAAGUUGACCGCCUGGGGAGUACGGC